GUCCACAAGAACGCUUCCGGAUUCGAUACUACGGCAUCUCGUAAAGAUCAAAAUGGCCACGCGUUCGCUUUUUGGGCUGUGACUGAAAGAAGAAAGCUGAACGUAAAGCGAUUGCUCAACCAGAUGCAGAAUGGAUGAAAGGAGCAAAUGAGGAGGUGUGAGGGGAAGGAAAGAUGGAAGCAGAGGAGGUCAUGCUGCAGUCUGCUGGCUCCUUUCCGAGGGCAGCACCGUUUCCAGGGCACAAAGCAAAACUGAUAAAUCCAAUAUAGUUCUCUGUCUGUGCAAGGAUUCAAAAGAGGUGACAGACAGAGAGGGAGGGAGUGCGCAUGGGGGUUUCUGUUGCUGUGCAGAACCCCCUGACCUGCAGGAAGCCAUGUGAAGCCACGUGUGACGUUAAUAACACGGAGGGCAGGAUCUCCUCCAGGUUUUCUCUGAGCGUCAAGGUUUCUUUUUUUUCUCCUUUUUGUUUUCCUUUGUCCUACCUCAAUCUGUUUGUCUGGGUUUUUUUUACGCUAAAAUGAACACCUCCUCUCUCCUGUCGCUGUAUUAGUUUAACAUGCAUGAGCAGCCGCAUGGUCAUGGCUCCACAUUUUACCAGUUUCCCACUAUUUGCCCGUACCCCAGCGCCUUUCCUCCCCUUUUUCGCACCUUCUUGUUAAAAAUGUGUUGUUUUUCCGAUUCGACACUAAUAAAGAAAGAACUACCGCUGCCA